GACGAACGCUGGCGGCGUGCUUAACACAUGCAAGUCGAACGGAAAGGCCCUGCUUUUGUGGGGUGCUCGAGUGGCGAACGGGUGAGUAACACGUGAGUAACCUGCCCUUGACUUUGGGAUAACUUCAGGAAACUGGGGCUAAUACCGGAUAGGAGCUCCUGCUGCAUGGUGGGGGUUGGAAAGUUUCGGCGGUUGGGGAUGGACUCGCGGCUUAUCAGCUUGUUGGUGGGGUAGUGGCUUACCAAGGCUUUGACGGGUAGCCGGCCUGAGAGGGUGACCGGCCACAUUGGGACUGAGAUACGGCCCAGACUCCUACGGGAGGCAGCAGUGGGGAAUAUUGCACAAUGGGAGGAAGCCGGAUGCAGCAACGCCGCGUGCGGGAUGACGGCCUUCGGGUUGUAAACCGCUUUCGCCUGUGACGAAGCGUGAGUGACGGUAAUGGGUAAAGAAGCACCGGCUAACUACGUG
rnacentral:rRNA from 1 species